GGUCCAAUAGUGUAGUGGUUAUCACAGUGGAUUCUGACCAAGCAUUCCAUUAACCCAGGUUCGAGUCCUGGUUGGACCU